rnacentral:tRNA from 1 species
GAGGUUACAGCUCAGUGGUAGAGUGUAUGCUUAACACGCAUGAGGUCCUGGGUUCGAUCCCCAGUACCUCCA